rnacentral:rRNA from 1 species
UGGAGAGUUUGAUCCUGGCUCAGGAUGAACGCUGGCGGCGUGCCUAAUACAUGCAAGUCGAGCGAACGGACGAGAAGCUUGCUUCUCUGAUGUUAGCGGCGGACGGGUGAGUAACACGUGGAUAACCUACCUAUAAGACUGGGAUAACUUCGGGAAACCGGAGCUAAUACCGGAUAAUAUUUUGAACCGCAUGGUUCAAAAGUGAAAGACGGUCUUGCUGUCACUUAUAGAUGGAUCCGCGCUGCAUUAGCUAGUUGGUAAGGUAACGGCUUACCAAGGCAACGAUGCAUAGCCGACCUGAGAGGGUGAUCGGCCACACUGGAACUGAGACACGGUCCAGACUCCUACGGGAGGCAGCAGUAGGGAAUCUUCCGCAAUGGGCGAAAGCCUGACGGAGCAACGCCGCGUGAGUGAUGAAGGUCUUCGGAUCGUAAAACUCUGUUAUUAGGGAAGAACAUAUGUGUAAGUAACUGUGCACAUCUUGACGGUACCUAAUCAGAAAGCCACGGCUAACUACGUGCCAGCAGCCGCGGUAAUACGUAGGUGGCAAGCGUUAUCCGGAAUUAUUGGGCGUAAAGCGCGCGUAGGCGGUUUUUUAAGUCUGAUGUGAAAGCCCACGGCUCAACCGUGGAGGGUCAUUGGAAACUGGAAAACUUGAGUGCAGAAGAGGAAAGUGGAAUUCCAUGUGUAGCGGUGAAAUGCGCAGAGAUAUGGAGGAACACCAGUGGCGAAGGCGACUUUCUGGUCUGUAACUGACGCUGAUGUGCGAAAGCGUGGGGAUCAAACAGGAUUAGAUACCCUGGUAGUCCACGCCGUAAACGAUGAGUGCUAAGUGUUAGGGGGUUUCCGCCCCUUAGUGCUGCAGCUAACGCAUUAAGCACUCCGCCUGGGGAGUACGACCGCAAGGUUGAAACUCAAAGGAAUUGACGGGGACCCGCACAAGCGGUGGAGCAUGUGGUUUAAUUCGAAGCAACGCGAAGAACCUUACCAAAUCUUGACAUCCUUUGACAACUCUAGAGAUAGAGCCUUCCCCUUCGGGGGACAAAGUGACAGGUGGUGCAUGGUUGUCGUCAGCUCGUGUCGUGAGAUGUUGGGUUAAGUCCCGCAACGAGCGCAACCCUUAAGCUUAGUUGCCAUCAUUAAGUUGGGCACUCUAAGUUGACUGCCGGUGACAAACCGGAGGAAGGUGGGGAUGACGUCAAAUCCCAUCAUGCCCCUUAUGAUUUGGGCUACACACGUGCUACAAUGGACAAUACAAAGGGCAGCGAAACCGCGAGGUCAAGCAAAUCCCAUAAAGUUGUUCUCAGUUCGGAUUGUAGUCUGCAACUCGACUACAUGAAGCUGGAAUCGCUAGUAAUCGUAGAUCAGCAUGCUACGGUGAAUACGUUCCCGGGUCUUGUACACACCGCCCGUCACACCACGAGAGUUUGUAACACCCGAAGCCGGUGGAGUAACCUUUUAGGAGCUAGCCGUCGAAGGUGGGACAAAUGAUUGGGGUGAAGUCGUAACAAGGUAGCCGUAUCGGAAGGUGCGGCUGGAUCACCUCCUUUCU